UCUCGACUUUUCCAUUUGUUUCCACAACGAAGCUUUUCCAUUUGUUUCCAGAUGAACCUCUCCGGUUCACUCUCUCAGAACUGCGAACUACAACAUCCUCCUCGGUUCGACGUCAUCUCCUCCCUUCCCCUUUGUUGGACAACAUCUCCCCCUCCAGGCUCCUCCCUCAUUCCUUUUCCUCCGUUAGGCAGCGUCUCCUCCGCUCCUUCUCCUGGGUCUGAAAAGAAAAGAGCUGCAGAUUACGGUGGCUCAGUUAUCUCCUCCCGAAUGUCCGUCGUGCCAACAUCACCCUUGAAGAGCAGGUUCUGGUUCUUGAGCUUCACCCUAGCUGGGGUAACAUGUAACUAUACAUAAUCAUCAUCAAAACAUAUGAUAAAUAAUUAUUCUAAUUGCAUGCACGAAUAUUCGAGCUUUGCAAGUACCACCGAUGCUCUUCCCCUUACUCAAUCUACUGUUGUUGCUUUAUCUCCGUUCCUCUGCCUUGAGAGAUCGGAAACUGGAAACCCCAAAGUUGAAAUAGAAACCUAAUGUUCUUUUCUCUUC